rnacentral:tRNA from 1 species
AAGGGAGACCUAAUUCAGGUAGGAGACGAAAAAAAGUAGUCCCUACCAAGAAUCAAUCCCAAAAGGUCGGAGCGAGGCAAAAUGGCUUUCAAACUAGGUUCUGGGUUCACAUAAGACCUGAAUCAGGAACAAGGGCUAUUAGCUCAGGUGGUUAGAGCGCACCCCUGAUAAGGGUGAGGUCCCUGGUUCGAGUCCAGGAUGGCCCACCUGCACAGGUGGCAAAAACAAAGAAAAGAAGCUCCGAAUCAGCACCUUAUCUUACUCAUAUAGUAAGAGAGAAUGCUGGCUCUGAGUUCAGAGUCCAGAGGAACCUUGAAAACUGCAUAGAGCUAGGUGAAAAAGCCAAGAAAGAAGACCGCAAGGUCAAGCUAAUAAGGGCUAACGGUGGAUACCUAGGCAC